UCCGGGUUGUUGGCGCUGAGGGAGUCCGCUGUGGCAGUCAGGGUCUGCAGCAUCACCGCCUUCGUGCAGGAGGAGCCUCCGAAUGCAGCCAGGAGCCGGCAGGGAUGGGCACAAACUACAGCAGAGGCUCAGGGAGGAAAAAGGCAAAGAGAAAAGGAAUGAAGUCGCACUGGGCAGCUUGCACGGUCACUGUGGGGCGAGCUGCUGGGUCCUCUGCACGUAUGCAGUGCAGCAGAGCUGGUGAGGCCAUGCGUGCAAAGGAAGAGGACAUCCAUUCAGCUCAGUGUGAGCUGCAGGGCAGAGCACCGCGUGGACACCUGAAGCUGCCGUGGAAGGAAGGAAGGGCAGGAGCUGGUGGGGCUGCUGGGACAGCAGUGUGCGAGCCGUGCCCAGGGCUGACGUUGGGGUGGAAGAGUUGCAGUGCAUGGGGUGGGCUGCUCUGAGGCUCCGGUGGGUGCACCCCUGGGCUCAGCCCCACACACACAGCAGCAAUUGUGGCUUCCUCGCUGUUGGGCAAUGAACGGGGCCUGAAUAUUGUUGUGCUUUUCAAUAGAGAGUGCUUUCGGUUUGAAAUGACCUUGGUUGUGGCUGGUUGGAUAAUUUGUUGUGAAUAAGGUUCUGCGCAAAGUUUGGCGUUUCCUAUUUUGUUGCAUAAUAAUUAGUGAUUGGAUUUUUCCAGUAUUUAUCCUAUGCUAAUCUCAGUAGGAGCCUGAAAUACCGGCAGUGGGCUGACAUGAGCCAGCAUCCAUGUAAAGUGGGGCAUUAAUUGCUUUCUACGGGCCAGGAAGGUAGAUCCAUAGAAUCCUUGGCACUGGAAGAGACCCUUAAAGGCCAUCUGGCCCAACUCCCUGCAAUGAAUAGAGACACCCAGAGCUCCAUCAGAGGCACUCGGUCUGCUCCACCAACCAACCCCGUGAGCUUUCUGCAAACAUGCACUGCUCCGUAAACCAACUUAUUCCCACAGCGUUCCGUGCCAUCAUUGUAGGAUCGUGGUUUUGGUAAUGAGAUGAGGAUGAGCAGUCCUUGGUGCUUACAUCCAGCAUUUACAGAACCAGAAUGAUGCAAUUCCUGGCCUGAAAGAAAGAAGACAACAGAAUCAUUUAACAUAAUAAUAACAGAAGUCGUUUGCUAGAAGUGCCAUGUGGAUUCAGAGCAUCUAUUUGCAAAGAAAUUUGCCUCUCCGGGCGCAUCUGGAAUCGCACUGAUUACCAAUGCAAAACUUGACGUGGAGCAACAGAGCGGAUGGGCACAGCCAGGUCCUGCACUGCGAUAGGGUAUGCCUAAUUAAACUGUCUGGGACGAGGUUUGAAAGAAGCCACAAAAAAAAGCCUACUGGAAACCAACGUGAUCGUGUCUGUACAGGGAGUUGCAGCAGUGUUGAAGCCAAUGCAAAUUUGUGCUCAGACGAAUCCUGCGGGGAGGGAACGGCUGCGUGUGCCGUGGCCUUGCAGAGGUUCACACUCCUGCUUGCAGCACACCCUGCCUGUUGCAGGAAAGUUAUUUCCUAGCAUUUGCAGGAACUUUGUAUUUUUUUAGGGGUAAUAUGAUUUCUUCGAAGGGUAGGAAUUGGUUCCGAUAACACCCAUAACUUCAAAUCCUUUCUCUGUGGUGGGCUGGCUGACACAAAGCUGAGCCUGUUGGUCUCUGUAUGUGGUCAGGCUGUUGUGAAGCACGAAUGGAGCUCUGAGUCCUCUGCGGCUCUGAGCCCAGUAAUGCAAAGGGAUGGCUCCAAAUAGCCAAAGGAAUGGGGUGGGAAAGAUGUUGGGGCAUCUCCAGUGCAGCAUCUUCAGUGGGGCAUCUCCAGUUGGGUAUAACCAAUGGUGCAUCUCCACUGGGGCAUCUCCAGUUGGGUAUCUCCAAUGAGAUGUUUCCAACGGGGCAUCUCCAGUGGGACAUCUCAUGAGACAUCUCCCUGGAGCUGUGCUGGGAGGUGUGCUGGUGCCAUCCAGCAAGCGCAGUCACAAAUGCCAAGCAGGACAAUAGGGCUGCAGCAGCACAGUGAGCUGGGCAGCCUUGAAGGAGGGCUCAUCCCACACAGGGUCAGCGGACCAGAUCUGGCCAGCUCCUGCAGCCUGGGCCCAGGGGAGUGCAGGCAGCUCUGCUGUAAACGUUAUUGUAUAUUUAUAAACAGGGCCAGACUGAAGGGAUGACAUGGCUCUAUUUACCCCAGUGGCAUGUAAAAGUAAACAGCCCAACGAGCUGAUCAUUAACUCGCCUCCCCUGCUUUGCUUUCGUGCCUCCUUAUAUGAAUAGAAACAUUCCUGUCUGUUUUUGUUUGCCCUAUCUCUGUGAGGACUGCUGUAAGAGUCCUGAACUCGGAAUGGGCUGUCAUAUGCUCAUGGGUCAAAACAAUGCUGGCUGCCUUAUGUCUGCACCCCCCUAAAUCCUGC
rnacentral:lncRNA from 1 species